CAGCAGCCGCGGGAAAACGAAGGGGGCUAGCGUUGUUCGGAUUAACUGGGCGUAAAGGGCGCGUAGGCGGGUUUUUAAGUCAGAGGUGAGAUCCCAAGGCUCAACCUUGGAACUGCCUUUGAUACUGGGAGUCUUGAGUCCGGGAGAGGUGAGUGGAACUGCGAGUGUAGAGGUGAAAUUCGUAGAUAUUCGCAAGAACACCAGUGGCGAAGGCGGCUCACUGGCCCGGUACUGACGCUGAGGCGCGAAAGCGUGGGGAGCAAACAGGAUUAGAUACCCCCGUAGUCCCUGUCUCUUAUAC
rnacentral:rRNA from 1 species